rnacentral:rRNA from 1 species
AAGCCCCGCAAGGGGUGAGUAGAGUGGCAAACGGGUGAGUAACGCGUGGGUGACCUGCCUUCAAGCGGGGGAUAACGUUUCGAAAGGAACGCUAAUACCGCAGGACAUCCCGCCUUUGAAGAGGCGGAGAUCAAAGCUGGGGAUCGCAAGACCUGGCACUUGAAGAGGGGCCCGCGCCCGAUUAGCUAGUUGGUGAGGUAACGGCUCACCAAGGCGACAAUCGGUAUCCGGCCUGAGAGGGCGGACGGACACACUGGGACUGAGACACGGCCCAGACUCCUACGGGAGGCAGCAGUGGGGAAUUGUUCGCAAUGGGCGCAAGCCUGACGACGCAACGCCGCGUGGAGGAUGAAGACUUUCGGGUCGUAAACUCCUGUCGAAUGGGACGGAUAAGCCGCGGGUCAACAACCCGCGUUUCUGACGGUACCGUUAAAGGAAGCCCCGGCUAACUCCGUGCCAGCAGCCGCGGUAAUACGGGGGGGGCAAGCGUUGUUCGGAAUUACUGGGCGUAAAGGGCUCGUAGGCGGCCAACUAAGUCAGACGUGAAAUCCCUCAGCUUAACUGAGGAAUUGCGUCUGAUACUGGAUGGCUUGGAUUCGGGAGAGGGAUGCGGAAUUCCAGGUGUAGCGGUGAAAUGCGUAGAUAUCUGGAGGAACACCGGUGGCGAAGGCGGCAUCCUGGACCGACAUUGACGCUGAGGAGCGAAAGCUAGGGGAGCAAACGGGAUUAGAUACCCCGGUAGUCCUAGCCCUAAACUAUGAAUGCUUGGUGUGGCGGGUAUCGAUCCCUGCCGUGCCGAAGCUAACGCAUUAAGCAUUCCGCCUGGGGAGUACGGU